rnacentral:rRNA from 1 species
AGUGAACGCUGGCGGUAGGCCUAACACAUGCAAGUCGAACGGCAGCACAGGAGAGCUUGCUCUCUGGGUGGCGAGUGGCGGACGGGUGAGGAAUACAUCGGAAUCUACUCUGUCGUGGGGGAUAACGUAGGGAAACUUACGCUAAUACCGCAUACGACCUACGGGUGAAAGCAGGGGACCUUCGGGCCUUGCGCGAUUGAAUGAGCCGAUGUCGGAUUAGCUAGUUGGCGGGGUAAAGGCCCACCAAGGCGACGAUCCGUAGCUGGUCUGAGAGGAUGAUCAGCCAAACUGGAACUGAGACACGGUCCAGACUCCUACGGGGGGAAGCAGUGGGGAAUAUUGGACAAUGGGCGCAAGCCUGAUCCAGCCAUACCGCGUGGGUGAAGAAGGCCUUCGGGUUGUAAAGCCCUUUUGUUGGGAAAGAAAUCCAGCUGGCUAAUACCCGGUUGGGAUGACGGUACCCAAAGAAUAAGCACCGGCUAACUUCGUGCCAGCCGCCGCCGUAA